AAAAUAUUCACAAUUACAUCAUCUAUAAAAUAAUCUACACCAUCCACUCCCCUUGAAAUGGAUAAAAAUUAAGGGAGGUUGUGAAGAAUAUGUUCCCAUGAGAAUUGCAAUUUUCUUCUGUCUUUUACAUACAGAAGACUGGAUAUAUCUGAAGUACAAAGUGUCCAUAAAUUUGAUUUCGCUGAUUACAUUUUACUUUUGGCUCACUGAAACCUGGGGAAUAUUUCCAAGAUUCAAGCUCAGUAGCAGCUUCAUCUUGCUCAAACCUGCUUUUAAUUAUUUACUACGUGGAUGAAGACCAUGAUGUAGAGGUAUGAUGAGAGCAGCCCAAACCUCAACUGGUUUUGCCAGUACAGUUCCUACUAUGCGGCAGUUUGGAAUUUCUGUUGUCCGACUCCUUAGAUGUUUGACUGAGGCCUCAUUCAUAUUUGGAAUUACCCCAAAAGAAUGUAAAUUUGAGUUUGAUUCCAGAUAUAAGUAGUGCUCACUUAACAAUCACAAUUGGGACUGGAAUCUUGGUUGUUGAGUGAAGCAGUCAUUAAGUAAGAUGUCCCGUGAUGGUUUCACUCAAAAACCCUAAUCCCAGCACUCCUGCUUGCAGUCAUUAAGCAAAUGGAUCCUUGGAAGCCCCAGCAGUACCAAUGUGGCAAAAGGCAUCAUGCCCUGUGAAGCACCAAAUGCCUGAUUGGAGUGUCAGCCCUGGAGGCCAUCUUUCUCUUUGGUUCUUCAGUGCUGCCACACUUAGUGCAUAGGCCUGCUGUGAGAAACUAGGAGGGGGGUUGCAUGGAGUGGGUAGAGAUAGUUAGCCACAACAACAUUCUUUUCUCUGGGAGUCAAGGACGUUCAGCCUGCACCUGGAGAGGUGUGACUGGGGAACAUCUCCAAUUGGGACAGUGGAAUGAUUGGACCAUGUGAUGGACAUGUGGGUGCAGGGGAAGGGAUUUUGACUUUCCUUUGGGUGGGAAAAACCCGGGGGCUUUCAGAUUCGGGUUUUCCCAGAUAUGCCAAUAUGACAUCUCUAAUAAAAUGGAACUUUGAGGAA